GCAUGGAAGGGCCAUCGCUCAACGGAUAAAAGCUACCCCGCGUAUAACAGGCUUAUCUCCACCAAGAGUCCACAUCGACGGGGAGGUUUGGCACCUCGAUGUCGGCUCAUCGCAGACUGGGGCUGUAGUCGGUCCCAAGGCUUGGGCUGUUCGCCCAUUAAAGCGGUACGCGAGCUGGCUUCAGAACCUCGUGAGACAGUUCCGUCCCUAACCGACGUGGGCGUAGGAAUUUUGAGAGGAGCUGUCCAUAGUCUGUCUCA
rnacentral:rRNA from 1 species